GAUUGCUGUGAGGUUAAAAAAUCAAGAAAUUAUUAUUAUUUUUGUACAAAAAAGAGUAAAAAUCUACUUCUAUGUAGAAGAGGGAGAGAGAGAGAGAGAGAGAGAGAAGCAUUCGGGUUGAAGAUGGUGUGAAGGCUCGGGUUUGGCGGAAGGUGCUGUGGCUAUCAAAUACUACCCUUGAAAAAGACAAAAUAGGAAACAUUAAGAGACAAGACCAAGAAAAACAAAAUUCACAGCCAAGAGCCGAUGCUUGUUUCUCUACUGUAACUGUGCCAAUCGUGAGGAGCUGCCAAGGCUGUACUUGAAGAAAUGAAUUCUCGAGAGGCCCACCGAGCAAGGAGCCCGGAUACCCAUCCCAUCACUGGAGAAGAUUCUGUUGAAAGUAAUGAGAUUGCUUUUCUGGUGGGAGAAGAUGGACAACUGCAUUCCUUGCAAGAGGAGAGCCAUGAAGUUUGGCAUCCUGAGAACAGCCCUGAACAAAAAAAUGGGAUCGAAAGUAAUAGAAAUGAAUGUCACAUCUUUGCACCAACCAGCUCAUUACAGCAGCACAAUGAGAAGAAUGAUUUGCAGCAGACCUCCGAGAAUCUGAAUGGAGACCAACAGGUCCAGCCAUGUACUGCAGUUAAGCAAAAGAUACUGAUGAAAGAAUCAGGUCCAGCCCUGUGGUCAGGUGAUUGCAAAUUGCCUGCAGCUUGCCAUUACACUGCGUUACAGAAUUCCCCAAAAGAGGACAGUCCAAUUCAAAACCAUCACUCAGAUGACAUGGUUUGUAACAUUUGUGGUAAAAAGUACAAGUACAUGUCGAGCUUCUGGAAGCACAGAAGAGAUCAUGAAACAAAAGGAGAAUUUUUCACUGAUUUCAUCUCUAGACCUGCUGCUGCUAACAAAAAUACCACAGGAAUGGUGCAUUCUUCUGCUGCCUGUAUAAAAACUUUGAUUUCACAAAAACUCUUUGAUAGAUCUGGAAAACUGUGUCCUCAAAAGGAACUUAAUCCAGUGUCAGAGCCCAAGCCAAUUAUGAUGAAGAUGGAAAAAACUAGUCCCUCCAAUUCAUGGCAAGAGAAAUUUCACAACAAAGGAUGCGGCUCAGAGCCAGGAUCCAGGCCAUCAGUUAUAAAGACAGAGGAAGCUAUUCCAUAUUGUAUAGCAGAAAAAGUUUCAAAUUUCAACAUUACCUCAAGCAAUCCUACCCCUGCAUUGCAACCAAGACCACUCCCAGAUUAUUUUUUCUCAUGUGAAAUUUGUGGGAAGAAAUACAAAUACAAGUCCAGUUUCUGGAAACACAUUGAAGACCAUAAAAACUAUGUUGUUGAUAGUACUGUUUCUGAUCAAGGCUGGAAUCUAAUAGCUGGAUCACAGCUGGCUGAAAAACAAGCUUAUAAUGGUGAACAGUCAGUUAGAAAAGUUAUAAUUGACAUCCAACAUCAUAAUUUGCUGCCCAUUAGAGAUGACAAACAGCAGGUGCUAACUGCAAACAAAGGACAAAGAACUCUUUAUUUUGAUCACAAGCAUAGGCUUUACAACGAUCCCAUUCAUGACCCAGACUUGUCCAUAGGGCAGUUCAAUACCUGUCAGUUGUGUGGAGCAAACUUUUCACGAAAGAGUGGCCUGGUGGACCACAUUCAGUUUGUGCAUCAGAGGUAUAGGCCCCAUGUAUGCACACUAUGUGAUCAGAAGUUCCGUCGACCAUCAGAACUCAAAAGACAUGUUCAACGGCGUCACAACAAUUGCUUAUCUGACAUCCAGAUUAGCAAUGUUACAUUUCUGGAAAGAGCCUGCACUGUAGAAAAUGGGCUGCUAGGAUUACCAGAAGCAUCUCACAAAAGAACAACCAAUGUGAAUGAGACGGCUGGAGAUACGCCUGUGAAAGCUUUGUCCCAUGAUAACUUACCUAAGAUUCAGAUAAGUAAUGUUACAUCUUUAGUCAAAUCCUACAUUGAUGAAAGUGGUGAGCAGAAAUUAUCAGAUGAAGUGAAACUUGUCCGUGGUGCUGGCUAUCAGGUUCAAACUAGCAGAAUUACGCCUGUGAAAAAGAAAAAGGCAUUCAAAAAGCCCAAGAGAGUGCACAGUUGCAGUCUUUGUGGGAAUAAGUACUUGUAUUAUUCUAUUCUUUGGAAACACAAGCUUAUGCAUGGAGGAAGAAAGAAACAUUUCUGCCUACUGUGUGGAUCAGGCUUUUUCAGGUCAAAGGAUUUGGAUAUUCACUUCAAAUCAGAACAUCUUCAGACCUUUAAGUUUAAGUGCCCGCACUGCGAAAAAGGUUUCAACCGACUUAUUGAUGUUCAAAAGCACAUAAUUGUUAGGCAUACAGAUUUGGAGAACUUUAUUUGUCGAAUAUGUAACACAAACACAGAGACAGCUUCAGAACUGCAGAAUCACAUCAAAAAGUUCCACUCCCCAAAAGGUCCCUUGCACUCAUUGUGAUUUUCUAUUGGAAAACAAAUUGCAACUUCAGACACAUGGGAAAACAUUGAUUACAAUGUUAACACUGGAUUCCUCUAAGCAUUCCAUCAAAAUGAGGUUGAUGCAAUCGAGAGCAUCCAGCAAAACGAGAAAGGAUGACCUCAGUUGUUUUUUCUUGGAUAAAUAAUGAAGGGACAUGACCCCGUUUAUUGAAAUAAGGAACAUAAUUUAUGUGGAUGGAAGCAGCUGUUUGACAUAGACUAAGUGCAGAGCUAAAGAACAAAAAUGCAAAAUUAAACAAGCUUCAACUGAGCUGGAGAUCAAUACACAACAGAAUUGCAGCAAAAAGCUGAUGGUCAUGUGAAGCAACUCAUGGAUAAAAAGCUGGAUAAACACAUCAUUGGGAACAGGAUACAAGAUAUAGUAGCUACUGAAAUUAGUCAAAGACUGCACAGAGCAGAGUGAUUUUUAAAUGCAGGGGUGACGUAGUUUGGAAAAGUCAUCUGUUGAGGUCACCACUGAGACUGGAUGGGAACUAAGAAGUAUUCUUGUAUUUUGCUGGAUUACUUUAAGCACAAGAUACUGAUGGACCUAUUGUGUAUUUCUGGCAUUUUGUUUUCCUUUCAAAUUUCCAGUAGUUGUAAUUUUGUAAAAAAAAAUGAAAAUGUUUUAAUUUUUGUAGUUUCUUAGUUUCAUGUUUUACUUCAAUAAAAACUAAACCAAAA